GGUGAUGAUGUUACUCUGUCCUGCAACUACAAAACAACCAGUGCUUCAGCAUACAACAGCUACUUACACUGGUACAGACAAUAUCCAAAAUCAACACCUGAGUUCCUUCUUUAUAUUACACAAAGUGGAGUUUUAAAUCAGAACAAACCCCCAAAAAUGUCUGCUACAGUUAAUGGAGAUCAAGUGGAUUUGAUCAUCUCCUCUGCUGCUGUAUCAGACUCUGUUCUAUACUACUGUUCUGCCCACAGAGCUGCUGAUAUCAGCAUUAAACCAGAAGAAACCACUUUAUCUGUAACUGAAGGCAGCAACAUCACACUGUCCUGCACAUAUACUGGAUCAGUUUACAGACUUCACUGGUAUCAACAAAAACCUGGAUCAAGACCAGAGUUUCUGCUGCUGAUUCAAGAAACCAGUGAACAUGUCACAGAAGCUCAACCACCUCAUCCACGAUUGUCCAUAAAACUUGACAAAACUAAUAAGAAAGUGGAUCUGCACAUCUCCUCUGCUGCUGUAUCAGACUCUGCACUGUACUACUGCGCUCUGACGUGA